rnacentral:lncRNA from 1 species
CCCUGUUUGAUUUUCAAUUUAGGGUUAAUUUCAUACAGGUCUAUGUAAAUAUAGUGAAUUGUAAAUAUAUCUCUAUAAAAUUUAAUUUCAUAUAUUGUUUCUGUAAAAGUCUUGAUAUUUUUAAAUAUGUCACUGCCGUUAGGAUCCGUUAGAAAAAAAAUUAGGUAACCAUAGGUAAAAUACUCAACUCUAAUUAAUUAAUGAGAUGAAUUGAUUUUUUUACCCUUCUUCAAUUAAUAGUUAGAAUUUUUGGAGGGACAUAUUUGUGAUUGCAAAAAGAACAUUUCGCAUAUGAAAUAAACAAUAUUUUAACGGUAACAAAUCAGCAGCACAUAUAUGAAAAUAUUAGAACUUUUGUAGGAACAAUAUAUAAAAGUUUAAUUUUGUAAGGAUAUAUUUAUAAUUCACUAUAUUUACAACGAUCUGUAUGAAAUUAACCCUUAAAUUUUAUUCGGUGCUUAUAGGUUUUUGAACUUUGGAUGAAAGUUUAUAGGGUUAAGAUGAUAGUGGUUUUCUGGAAUUCAGUAGAUAGUUAGUGGAAUAACAUGAUUUAAGAAAUAGAAUUGGUCAAAGAGAUAGAUAUAUUAGUGAAAAAAUUGAUAGUACUAAAUAUUUGAUACUAUUAAAAGCACCAUAACCAGACUAUAUAUAAAUUUAUUUUCUAGAAGUUUCAAAUACUCUAGAUCAUAUUUAACGGAGUGGAUUGUCGAUUCGGAAGCUCAGAUCAUUGAAAAAUACUUAUUAGUACGAAGUGCUCUAUACUCAUAAGAGUAUAGUAGUCCUAGCCAUAUAGAGUCCGGCUACUAUACUAUUAUGAGUACGAUCGUCCUCGUACUCAUAAGUUGCUUUCGAUGAUAGGGCUUCUGAAUCGACGAUCCACACCGUUAAACGUUAUCUGAAGCAUUUAAAACGUUUAGAAAUCAAAUUUUAUAAUUUUUCGACAUCAUUUACCUUACGAUCAAAAGGUCACAAAAUUGACAAUUUUUAACGACCAGUAUGAGAUAUUUGCUAGUUUAACUGUGUAAAAGAAUUAAAAUUAGUUGAAUUUUUGAUAGAAAAUUCUAUUAACUAUAUAGAUAAAGAUCAAUAAUUCCGAUCUUAAAUUGAAGAAUCCGAUCAUCCAUUUUUAAGGCGUCGUUCGAUUUUGACCGUUUAUUUUAUACCCGCUUGAUGAACUUUAUUAUGAUUUCGAAAAGUUAUGAAAUUUAUUUUCUAGAAGUUUCAAAUACUCUAGAUUAUAUUUAACAGAGUGGAUCGUCGAUUCGGAAGCUCAGAUCAUUGAAAACAACUUAUUAGUAUGAAGUGCUCUAUACUCAUAAGAGCUUCCAAAUCAACGAUCGGCACCGUUGAACAUGAUCUAGACCAUUUAAAUUAUCUAGAAAUCAAAUUUCAUAAUUUGUUGGCAUCACUAUCUGAACAAUCAAAGGGUCACAAAAUCUAUAAUUUUAAUAGCCGAUAUGGUGCGUUUGCUCGUUUAACGGUAUAGAAUAGUUCAAAUCAACUAAAUUUUUGUUAAAAAAUUCUUUAAACUAUUUAAAAUAAGAUCUAGACUCUAGAUCCCAAAUAUAAAAAUUGUAUCAUCACUUUUUGAAGGAUAUUCAUUUUCAGCCAUUCAUUUUUCUAUUCACUUGAUGGACAAAAGAACAAUAUCGAAAAUGUGUGAAAUUUGAUUUCUAGAUAGUUUAAAUAAUUUAGAUCAUGUUUAACGGUGCCGAUCAUCAAUUUGAAAACUCUAUCAUCGAAAAUAAAUUGGUAGUAAACUGAGCCGUUUACUACCGAUAGUAUUCUAGCAAAACUCUCUCUCUCUCUCUCCUAUAUAUAUAUAUAUAUAUAUAUAUAUAUAUAUAUAUAUUA